AAAACCUUAAACUGGAUUUGGCCUUUUUCACGCAAAUUAGGGCCGAAAGAGACCACACAUCGCGUUCAGGUUCCCUACCGCCUCCAGAUCAAACUCGUCGGACGCCGGAGCCGAUGGCGACCAAUCCCCAACCAAACCAAGAGCAAGAGUCUCAAUUCCCAAUCCGAAGACUCGAACUCGCCGACAAAUCCAAAGGAUUCAUCGAUCUCCUCUCCCAGCUCAGCUCCUGCCCCCAGAUCUCCGACGCCCAGUUCGAUCUCCGGUUCAACGAGAUCGCCUCUCUCGGCGACGACCACGUGAUCUGCGUCAUCGAGGACCCGGUCUCCAACCGGAUCAUCGCCACCGGCUCCGUCUUCAUCGAGAAGAAAUUCCUCCGCGGUUGCAGCAAGGUCGGCCACAUCGAGGACAUCGUCGUCGAUAAGGAAGUCAGAGGGAAGAAAUUAGGGCAGAAGAUGAUUAGAUACCUCUCGGACCACGCUAAGGGGGUCGGGUGUUAUAAGGUGAUUCUUGAUUGCGAGCCGGACCGCAGGGGUUUUUAUGAGAAGUGCGGGUUCGUUGAGAAGAACGUCCAGAUGGCGAUUUAUUUCUGAUGAGGGGUCUUGUUAUUUCCUUUCUUGGCAACAUGAUGUUUCCUUUGGUAACAAUGAAUGCGAUCCUCGGUCAACAAUUAUAAUUUACUGCAUGAGAACGAUUGAUAGGUGAUGAGGUCAACACAGAGAGGUACAAGGAAUACUGGCCUUCAAUAACUUCAAAGUUCCCAUUCCUGCAGAUCGACUCUCAUUCAAGGGUUUAUGUGAGUACUACAAGAAGAUGAUUUUGCCGCUGACCGUGCGGAGUCGGUGAUCUAGUCAUUAGGGUGGUACUACUUGCAUAUCCUACUGCCAAUAUCUAUUAGAUGUGGUGAAGGACAGUUCUAUAGUAUGGAGCAGACAAUUAUAUGUAAUAAAUCAAUGUUUCAAAGAAACUGUCCUUCGGUAAAACGAAAUUAUACAUGUAAGUGGAAAAUGAUUGUCACCAUUCUUUGAAGCCGGUUAUCUUUUAUUCUUCUUGUAGUUAAGAUUUGGAUAUUUAUCCUUGGUUAUUAUCACACAUUUUUAUACCA